rnacentral:rRNA from 1 species
GUGGGGAAUAUUGGACACUGGGCGAAAGCCUGAUCCAGCCAUGCCGCGUGUGUGAAGAAGGUCUUCGGAUUGUAAAGCACUUUAAGUUGGGAGGAAGGGUAGUAACCUAAUACGUUGCUACUUUGACGUUACCGACAGAAUAAGCACCGGCUAACUUCGUGCCAGCAGCCGCGGUAAUACGAAGGGUGCAAGCGUUAAUCGGAAUUACUGGGCGUAAAGCGCGCGUAGGUGGUUCAGUAAGUUGGAAGUGAAAUCCCCGGGCUCAACCUGGGAACUGCUUUCAAAACUGCUGAGCUAGAGUACGGUAGAGGGUGGUGGAAUUUCCUGUGUAGCGGUGAAAUGCGUAGAUAGAGGAAGGAACACCAGUGGCGAAGGCGACCACCUGGACUGAUACUGACACUGAGGUGCGAAAGCGUGGGGAGCAAACAGGAUUAGAAACCCUAGUAGUCC